AUGUUUUUAUACAUGUGUGUCAAUUUUAGCUAUUAUGUCUGUAUGAGUAUAAUGGCAUAAAUCUUACUUAUCUUCUCCUUGUAUCCCCUAUGUAUUGGAUUCCACUGGUGGUGAAUCAUGUCCUGGUUCCUACUUCACUGCAUCUGUAAAUAAAUAGGAAUGAGCCUACGCAUGCCCAUAAAGUUAAAUUUAGAUUUAAAAAAUGUAUUAAAAUCAAUAAAAUUCCUAAACCAGAGUCACCCUCAACUCUCUCUCUCACUCCAGACAGUCCUCUUUUUCCCUUUAUAGGAAAAUUCUAGGUAUCU
rnacentral:lncRNA from 1 species